rnacentral:lncRNA from 1 species
CCACAUUUGUAUAAAGGAGGGGUGGGGUUGUUGGGGGAUUGUCCUUGGAGGCUGGUUCCUACAGCCACUCAUCUGUCUUGAGUGUUGGCUGCCUCCUCUGGGGGGAUUACCUCUCUCUGUCAGGGAUGUUCAGAAAAUGAAAUGGAACCAGAUAUGUAAAAGGGCAACACAGAACCUUCAUUUUCCCUGUGCUUGGACCGGUGACAACAGCCUGGCAUUAUCCGUUGGACAUUUCUGAGGGUGGGUAGAAGGAUAAGGAGGAGAGACUCAGGUCUCCCCUUCCCCUGAGUUUCCCCUCCCAGGUAGACCUGAGCCCUCCCUGGCACAUCGGACAUGCUGGCUGUCCCGACUCCAGACCUAGGAUCCCUGUUCUGUGGGGUCGGCCCCCCCGCCCCCCCUGCCCAGAGCUGUGGACAUGCCCCACGUCAGUACUGCCCUCUGAAUCAGCACCACGGACAGCACCAUCGAGCUUUCAGAGGGAUCCCCGGGAACCUGGUGCACAUCUCUUCGCUCAUGAACUCCUCACCAUCUCGACGGUGGAUGACACGUAGCUGGCACUCCUCGCUCCAUGUCCCCGGCACACCCGACUCCUGCGAGCAGAACCUGUGUGCUCUGCAGCAAUGAAGAGGAGGAGCGUGGCCCUGUGAGACAGCAGCGGUGAAGAAAUCGGCCUGGUGCCAGACAGCCAUAACGAAGGGGGAAAGGGGAAGUUUCUAUCCCUUUCGAAAUCUGCCCCUUCUCUUCUGUACUUCUCCCCAUCCCAACCUCGCUUACAAUCACAGCCUCAGGUUCCCUUUCCUCCUUUGAGUCAGGCUCCCCUUGACACCCUCGGAGUCUUCGCCUCCACUGCCUGAGUGUCCCCUCUGCCCAAGCUUCCUGUGACCCAACCUCCAACCUGGGGGGACGGCAGCCCCUCACUCUGCCUGUGGUCCCCUGUCACAGGGAGCUCCAGGCAUUGAACACUUACUGUCUCCCCACUGGACAGUGACUCUCGGGGCAGUGGCCGGGGCUAGCGUGUGAUCUCGUGAGCAGGGAGGGGAUGCCCACUGCAUGGGUGCCAAGGGAGGGAGGACAGUCGGCCUCCUCACACCUCCACCCCCGGCCUCCCCCAUCUCUUGCAUCCCUGUGUCCUGCCCCUGGCAGGACUGACUUCCACAGACAUGUACAGCCUGUGAAUCAGAGGGUCUGGCCAGAAGGGUCCCGUUUUCACUUUGCAGAGAACAACCCCAGAGGGGGGCGGUAUUGGGAGAUGGGGCUUGAGCCCUGCACAAGGCGUGAAUUUGGCUCCCUGAGGACUCUCACCCUCUCUGGCCUCUAGGCCCAGGGCCCCCAGGAGUGGACGUGUGGUGGCGGAUGGCUGAUUCCCAAUGGCUGUCCUGGCCCUGACAGUGUCUGGGUGUCAAGUUCCUCCUCCGUGGCGUGUCACUGUUCUGACAUCACCUGCAUCUUCCUGUCGGGCCUUCCUCUGAAUCUUGCAACUUUUAGUUCCUGAGAGAACAACCCUGACAAACAGACAUUCUGGGGACCC